rnacentral:lncRNA from 1 species
GAAACUUACCGGCGGGGUGUCUCCGAGUGCGGUGGCUCCGUUGGUUCUCUUUCAUGGCUGGAAUUCUUCUCUGGCUAACCUACACCAGAAAGAGACGAUGAACACAAUGGUCAAAGAAUCGUGUAAAAUGAAAAAGAGAAGGGGGUCAUCGGAGAGGGUUUAGGAUUUUGGUCGCCGCAGCUCCGUCGGACUUUACCUGCAGUUUCUAACUCACCCGCCAUCCCUUUUACUCCGAUAUGGCCAUAAGGAGACUCAAAAUUGAAUUUUGAGUGGAGAGGAAAAAAUUUUACUUUUUUUGGCAAUCGGCGGUGGCUCUGGUGUAGCGGCGGUUGAGGGUCGGCUUCCUUCUCCGGCGUCUGGUUCUUCUUCU